UGAAUGAUAAAAAUGGCGCAAAUAUAGCGCCAUUUUUAUAGGUUAAAAACGUUGCUUUUCAUAUUCUGAUGCGGACAGUCAGUGAUCAUAUCGCGCUACUUCAGGAUGAUGUAGAUCCGGAGAACGCUACAGAAGAAGAGGCAUUGUUGCUGGAAAAUGGAAGAAGUUUCAGGUUUUGUUGUCCCUGAAAAACGAAGCCCC
rfam:Escherichia coli 83972 contig00012, whole genome shotgun sequence.